rnacentral:rRNA from 1 species
AUUGAACGCUGGCGGCAUGCCUUACACAUGCAAGUCGAACGGUAACAGGUCUUCGGAUGCUGACGAGUGGCGAACGGGUGAGUAAUACAUCGGAACGUGCCUAGUAGUGGGGGAUAACUACUCGAAAGAGUGGCUAAUACCGCAUUAGAACCACGGAUGAAACUAGGGGAACGUAAGACCUUGUGCUACGAGAACGGCCGAUGGCAGAUUAGGUAGUUGGUGGGAUGAACGCUUACCAAGCCGACGAUCUGUAGCUGGUCUGAGAGGACGAUCAGCCACACUGGAACUGAGACACGGCCCAGACUCCUACGGGAGGCAGCAGUGGGGAAUUUUGGACAAUGGGCGCAAGCCUGAUCCAGCAAUGCCGCGUGCAGGAUGAAGGCCUUCGGGUUGUAAACUGCUUUUGUACGGAACGAAAAGCCCCGGGUUAAUACCCUGGGGUCAUGACGGUACCGUAAGAAUAAGCACCGGCUAACUACGUGCCAGCAGCCGCCGUAA